rnacentral:rRNA from 1 species
GUAAUCACUUUACCUUGAGAAAAACAGAGUGUUCCAGACAGGUUUGUCCGGAAUGCGUUAGCAUGGAAUAAUAGAAUAUGACUGAAGUCGAUUUAUUGGUUUAAGGCUUUAGUAAUGAUUAAUAGGAACAAUCGGGGGCAUUGGUACUUGUCAGUCAGAGGUGAAAUUCUAGGAUUUGACAAAGACUAACUGAUGCGAAAGCGUUUGCCAAGAAUGUUUUCAUUAAUCAAGAACGAAAGUUAGGGGAUCAAAGACGAUCAGAUACCGUCCUAGUCUUAACUAUAAACUAUA